rnacentral:lncRNA from 1 species
CCCGAAAUACGGCACCUGGGCAUUUGUGAAAACAGCAAAAGCCGGAAGAUGUCACUGAAAUUUUCCCUCCCUGAGGACCCUCAUGUGACCUAUAUCAUGGGCUGUGCCUGAAGGAAAAGAAUGAACACACAGAGAAGAAUCUGAACCAACAGGUCUUACUAAGUUUACCCCAGUUUAUUACCGUUAGGUCACAUUCCCCUUCCAUCCAGUCAUAACUGCUCCUUCCGCUAAUCUAAGUAUAAAAAUACAGUUUUUGGGCCCGGCACGGUGGCUCAAGCCUGUAAUCCCAGCACUUUGGGAGGCUGAGGCAGAAUUGCUUGAACCCGGGAGGCAGAGGUUGCAGUGAGCUGAGAUAGCACCACUGUGCUACAGCCUGGCGACAGAGUGAGAUUCUGUCUCAAAUAAAAAAAAUAAGUUACACUCACAAA